AUUUAGGUAGUUUAAUUAGAAUAAUAAUUUGUGGUAUUAUUGGUGAUUUUAUCUCUAGAUU
rnacentral:tRNA from 1 species